GAUGAACGCUGGCGGCGUGCCUAAUACAUGCAAGUCGAGCGAACAGACGAGGAGCUUGCUCCUUUGACGUUAGCGGCGGACGGGUGAGUAACACGUGGGUAACCUACCUAUAAGACUGGGAUAACUUCGGGAAACCGGAGCUAAUACCGGAUAAUAUUUCGAACCGCAUGGUUCGAUAGUGAAAGAUGGCUUUGCUAUCACUUAUAGAUGGACCUGCGCCGUAUUAGCUAGUUGGUAAGGUAACGGCUUACCAAGGCAACGAUACGUAGCCGACCUGAGAGGGUGAUCGGCCACACUGGAACUGAGACACGGUCCAGACUCCUACGGGAGGCAGCAGUAGGGAAUCUUCCGCAAUGGGCGAAAGCCUGACGGAGCAACGCCGCGUGAGUGAUGAAGGUCUUCGGAUCGUAAAACCCUGUUAUUAGGGAAGAACAAACGUGGAAGUAACUGUGCACGUCUUGACGGUACCUAAUCAGAAAGCCACGGCUAACUACGUG
rnacentral:rRNA from 1 species